UACAGAGGGGGCAAGCGUUAUUCGGAAUUAUUGGGCGUAAAGGGCGCGUAGGCGGCUUUGCAAGUGACGGGUGAAAUCCCUCGGCUUAACCGAGGAACUGCCUGUCAAACUGCAUGGCUUGAGACCGGGAGAGGUGAGUGGAAUUCCCAGUGUAGCGGUAGAAAUGCGUAGAUAUCCAGAGGAACACCAGUGGCGAAGGCGACUUUCUGGCCUGUUCUUGACGCUGAGGCGCGAAAGCUAGGGGAGCAAACGGG
rnacentral:rRNA from 1 species